rnacentral:rRNA from 1 species
AGAGUUUGAUCCUGACUCAGAACGAACGCUGGCGGCGUGCCUAACACAUGCAAGUCCAACGUGAAAGGGGAGCAAUCCCCCGGUAGGGUGGCAAACGGGUGAGUAAUACAUGGGUGAUCUACCUUAGGGAUGGGGAUAUCCUUCCGAAAGGAGGGGCAAUACCGAAUAUUGUCCGGAGCCGUGAAGGGUUCCGGGGAAAGGGAGGCCUCUGAUACAAGCUUUCGCCUUAAGAUGAGCCCAUGGCCCAUCAGCUAGUUGGUAGGGUAAAGGCCUACCAAGGCUACGACGGGUCGCUGGUCUGAGAGGACGACCAGCCACACUGGCACUGAGAUACGGGCCAGACUCCUACGGGAGGCAGCAGUGAGGAAUAUUGCGCAAUGGGGGAAACCCUGACGCAGCAACGCCGCGUGUGGGAAGAAGGCCUUCGGGUCGUAAACCACUUUUGCACGGGACGAAAAAGGGAUAUCGAACAAAUAUCCCCGAUGACGGUACCGUGAGAAUAAGCCACGGCUAACUCUGUGCCAGCAGCCGCGGUAAGACAGAGGUGGCAAGCGUUGUUCGGAACUACUGGGCGUAAAGAGUCUGUAGGUGGUUUGUCAAGUCUUUGGUGAAAGGCCGUAGCUUAACUAUGGGAAUGCCAAAGAGACUGGCAGGCUGGAGGCUGGGAGAGGGAAGCGGAAUUUCUGGUGUAGCGG